rnacentral:rRNA from 1 species
AGAGUUUGAUCCUGGCUCAGAACGAACGCUGGCGGCGCGUUUUAAGCAUGCAAGUCGGACGGCAAGGGCUGUAGCAAUAUGGCCCCUAGAGUGGCGAACGGGUGAGUAACACGUAGGUGAUCUACCUCUGGAUGGGGGAUAGCCCGUGGAAACACGGGGUAAUACCGCAUGAGGCCUUGUGGGUGAAGCCAUGAGGUGAAAGGUGCAAUUGCAUCGUCUGGGGAUGAGCCUGCGGUCCAUUAGGUAGUUGGCGGGGUAAAGGCCCACCAAGCCGACGAUGGAUAGCCGGCCUGAGAGGGUGGACGGCCACACUGGAACUGAGACACGGUCCAGACUCCUACGGGAGGCAGCAGCUAAGAAUCUUCCGCAAUGGGGGAAACCCUGACGGAGCGACGCCGCGUGGAUGAUGAAGGCCGUAAGGUUGUAAAAUCCUUUUGUCGGUGAAGAAUAAGCCAGGGAGUGGAAAGCCCUGGUGAUGACGUUAACCGGCGAAUAAGCCCCGGCUAAUUACGUGCCAGCAGCCGCGGUAAUACGUAUGGGGCAAGCGUUGUUCGGAUUUAUUGGGCGUAAAGGGCGUGUAGGCGGCUCAUCAAGUCUGGUGUGAAAUCGCAGGGCUUAACCCUGCAUAUGCGCUGGAAACUGGUGGGCUUGAGUUCUUGAGGGGAAGCUGGAAUUCCAGGUGUAGGGGUGAAAUCUGUAGAUAUCUGGAAGAACACCGGUGGCGAAGGCGAGCUUCUAUCAGAGGACUGACGCUGAGGCGCGAAAGCGUGGGGAGCAAACAGGAUUAGAUACCCUGGUAGUCCACGCUGUAAACGAUGUGCACUAGGCGU